rnacentral:rRNA from 1 species
GACGAACGCUGGCGGCGUGCUUAACACAUGCAAGUCGAACGAAAAGACGGAAAGAGCUUGCUCUUUUCAGAAUUGAGUGGCAAACGGGUGAGUAACACGUAAACAACCUGCCUUCAGGAUGGGGACAACAGACGGAAACGACUGCUAAUACCGAAUAAGUUCCAAGGGUCGCAUGGCCCAUGGAAGAAAAGGUGGCCUCUACCUGUAAGCUAUCGCCUGAAGAGGGGUUUGCGUCUGAUUAGCUGGUUGGAGGGGUAACGGCCCACCAAGGCGACGAUCAGUAGCCGGUCUGAGAGGAUGAACGGCCACACUGGAACUGAGACACGGUCCAGACUCCUACGGGAGGCAGCAGUGGGGAAUCUUCCGCAAUGGGCGAAAGCCUGACGGAGCAACGCCGCGUGAGUGAUGACGGCCUUCGGGUUGUAAAACUCUGUGAUCCGGGACGAAAAGGCAGAGUGCGAAGAACAAACUGCAUUGACGGUACCGGAAAAGCAAGCCACGGCUAACUACGUGCCAGCAGCCGCGGUAAUACGUAGGUGGCAAGCGUUGUCCGGAAUUAUUGGGCGUAAAGCGCGCGCAGGCGGCUUCCCAAGUCCCUCUUAAAAGUGCGGGGCUUAACCCCGUGAUGGGAAGGAAACUGGGAAGCUGGAGUAUCGGAGAGGAAAGUGGAAUUCCUAGUGUAGCGGUGAAAUGCGUAGAGAUUAGGAAGAACACCGGUGGCGAAGGCGACUUUCUGGACGAAAACUGACGCUGAGGCGCGAAAGCGUGGGGAGCGAACGGGAUUAGAUACCCCGGUAGUCCUGGCCGUAAACGAU